GGUUUGGUAGCCUAGUGGUUAUGGUACACGUAUUAUGGCUGCGUGUAGCGGGUUCAAGUUCUGCUCUGACAA